rnacentral:rRNA from 1 species
UACGGAGGGUGCAAGCGUUAAUCGGAAUUACUGGGCGUAAAGCGUACGUAGGCGGCGUGUUAAGCAAGAUGUGAAAGCCCCGGGCUCAACCUGGGAAUUGCAUUUUGAACUGGCAUGCUAGAGUCCUGAAGAGGGUGGUAGAAUUUCCAGUGUAGCGGUGAAAUGCGUAGAUAUUGGAAGGAAUACCAGUGGCGAAGGCGGCCACCUGGUCAGAGACUGACGCUGAGGUACGAAAGCGUGGGGAGCAAACAGGAUUAGAUACCCUGGUAGUCCACGCCGUAAACGAUGUCAACUAGUUGUUCGUGUCAUUAAGACGUGAGUAACGCAGCUAACGCACUAAGUUGACCGCCUGGGGAGUACGGCCGCAAGGUUAAAACUCAAAUGAAUUGACGGGGGCCCGCACAAGCGGUGGAGCAUGUGGUUUAAUUCGAUGCAACGCGAAGAACCUUACCAUCCCUUGACAUCCAGUGAAUUUUCCAGAGAUGGAUUAGUGCCUUCGGGAACACUGAGACAGGUGCUGCAUGGCUGUCGUCAGCUCGUGUUGUGAGAUGUUGGGUUAAGUCCCGCAACGAGCGCANCCUUAUCCUUAGUUGCCAGCACGUAAUGGUGGGAACUCUGGGGAGACUGCCGGUGAUAAACCGGAAGAAGGUGGGGACGACGUCNAGUCAUCAUGGCCCUUACGGGAUGGGCUACACACGUGCUACAA